AUGGCGAUGAUCGGGUGGCCGGACCUCCCGCCCGAGCUGUUGGGCGACGUGCUCUCCCGCUUGCCGUCCUACCUCGAGCACGCCCGCGUCCGCGCCGUGUGCCGCUCCUGGCGCUCCGGCGCGCGGACGCAGCCGCCGCCGCCGCUGCUCCCGUGGGCCGGCCUCCGCAGCGGCGCCUUCCUCGACCUGGCCGAGGGUGCGCUUGACCGUCUGCCCGUCCCAGAAGCCGACGUCGUCCGCCGGGUCUCCACAGGCCGUCUGCUGUUCCUGGUGCGCCGCGACGGCACGUGCUCCUUGAUGGACCCUCACUCCGGGGACGCCACCCCUCAGCACAUCGAGCCUGAGUACCUCUGUGCCCGCCUCCACAUCCGCAAGGUGGUCGUGUCCGAUGACCUCGUCGCCGUCCUGAUCAGGCGUUUGCACGCGAGAAAUAUCGUCAGCAUCUACACUCGUGGCCGAACAAUGCGCAUGGCGUGGGUGCCUCCUCCUGAGUUCCCCGGAAGCGCCGUCGACAUGGCGCUCUUCAAAGGGAAGCUCUACGUGCUCGCGUCGGAAGUGCUGCGCCGCAGCUACGAGCUCCACGCCCUGGACAUGGCCACCGGAGAAUCCGUGCAAUGCAUACGUAGCAGCACGCCGCCAACAAGAGUCGAGGAGGGCUACAACCGCGUACGUGAAGUCUACCUGGUCUCCUCCGGCGACCGCCUGCUCAUGGUCGAACACACGAUCGACCACAUGACCUGUCGACAGACUUACUUGCCGUCUCAGUUUGAGGUCUUCGAGGCCGCCGACCUGGACCUAGGCGACGGCCAUGGACGGUGGAGGGAGGUGGACACGCUCAUGGGACGCGCCCUCUUCGUCAGCCAGGGAUGCUCCGAGUCACUCCCCGCCAGCGGCAUCGGAGCUAGGGAAGAUUGCAUCUACUUUAUGAGCGAGCGUCCAAGGCUCGGUCCAAGGGCCAGGAACGCUACCACGACGGAGCUCGAAUCGGGGGUGUACAACAUGAGAGAUGGGACGACAAUAACGCCGUUGCCACCGUUGGAGACGGCAACGGAAGCGUCGGUGGACGAACUCGUUGGCCUGUAUUUACACAAAUCAUCUGGUCGCAUGAACCAAAGAGAAAAAUGA
rnacentral:rRNA from 1 species